AGAGUUUGAUCCUGGCUCAGGACGAACGCUGGCGGUGUGCUUCACACAUGCAAGUCGAACGAGGUAGCAAUACCUAGUGGCGGACGGGUGAGUAACGCGUGGGAAUCUGCCUUAAAAUGGGGGAUAGCUGGCCGAAAGGCUAAUUAAUACCGCAUAAGCCUAUAUCUCGACAGUUUUAUAGGUUAAAGGAGUAAUCCGUUUUAAGAUGAGCCCGCGUCCGAUUAGCUAGUUGGUAGGGUAACGGCCUACCAAGGCUGCGAUCGGUAGGUGGUCCGAGAGGACGAUCACCCACAAUGGAACUGAGACACGGUCCAUACUCCUACGGGAGGCAGCAGUGGGGAAUUUUGCGCAAUGGGCGAAAGCCUGACGCAGCGACACCGCGUGAGCGAAGAAGCCCUUUGGGGUGUAAAGCUCUGUCGGCUGGGAAGAAAAAAAUGACGGUACCAGCAAAGGAAGCAUCGGCUAACUACGUGCCAGCAGCCGCGGUAAGACGUAGGAUGCAAGCGUUGUCCGGAUUUAUUGGGCGUAAAGAGUUCGUAGGCGGUUUGUUAAGUCUGAUGUUAAAGAUCAGGGCUCAACCCUGGGAUUGCAUCGGAUACUGGCAGACUGGAGUGUGGUAGAGGUAAGUGGAAUUUCUGGUGUAGCGGUGAAAUGCGUAGAUAUCAGGAAGAACACCAGUGGCGUAGGCGACUUACUGGGCCAUAACUGACGCUGAGGAACGAAAGCCAGGGGAGCAAAUGGGAUUAGAUACCCCCGUAGUCC
rnacentral:rRNA from 1 species